UUUGUACAAUGAAGAGUUUGAUCCUGGCUCAGGAUGAACGCUAGCGGCAGGCUUAACACA
rnacentral:rRNA from 1 species